CAGGAAUUGUACCAGCAGCACAUGAGAUAUCUGGAAAAGAAGAAUGAAAUGCCUGCACUUGACAUGCCAAAUCAACAGAAAAUAAUGCAACAAUUGAACACUGAAAAGGAAACCAAGCAAGAAGAUUUGGAGCAUGGGUCUGCUUCUUUGAAGGAAGGAAGAGGGGGAACACUGAGUGCUGCACUGACCAAGUGUAAAAUUGCCAAAGGGGCUCUGAAGAAUCGCUUGGCAUUCCUGAAGGGAAAGUCUUGUAUCCAGGCAGGCACUGGCAUUGAUCUUCAUUCCACUGCAACAUGCCUGAAUUAUUCCAGAGAUGUUUCCCAUCAAGAGGCUUUUGGAGCACAAGAGGAGCAGCUGUUUUGUGGCUCAGGGACCAGCCUGGAAUCAAACAAAGUGGUUGCAUCAGCAGAGGAGAAGAGAGAGAGACCUGAAUUAUCCACUGUGCCCAGGAGAAGUGGCGAGCAGGUGGAACCUGACAGGAGAAUCAGAGCUUUUAGGAGAAUGUUCCUCCCAGACUACUUCAUAUUCCCUGUCCACGAGUCUGCCCAUCGAAAUUGGUCAACUUUUGAAAUAGAAGACUCCUCCAGUAGCUCAGGGGAGCAGCAGCCCUCGUGCUGAUGCACAGCCUGUGGAGAAGAGGGUGUCCCUGCUGCAGUCACAGCUGGCCCAAGACCGACAGCACCACCUGGAGAGCUGUGCAGGGAGCAGGCAGGAGACACAAGGUGCAGAAGGGACCUCCUUGCUUCCUGAACAUCUCAGAGAGGAGCCAGCUGGAUGCAGUUUUAGACGUAGGCAGUAGUUUAUGUUUAAAGGUGGUAUAGUAUAGGAUAGCAUAGGUAAUAGUAAUUGAACCUUUAUACAACUGUCUUCCAUAGGAUGAAGGAUAUAUUGAUAGAGAAAUAAAGAGUUUAUUCUGAUCACAAUUAAACUAAAAGAUCUUUUUCAGGCUUAUUUACUGCCCAGUACAGAGACCUGUAACUUCCAGUAUAGUGCAUUAUAUCUGAAACAACAUUGAAGCAAUUCCAGUCAAGCCAGCAAAAACCAAUUCUUAAAGAUUGAUGCUACUCACCCAAACCCAUGACCAUGGGCAAACCUUUCUCUCAGUCUCAAGGCGUGACCUUGAGGAGCAUCCUCACUCCAGGGAGGAACCUGCAGAAGGGACACAUGUGCCAUGCACCACUUUGGUGAGGGCAGGAGAAUCCUGCCAUGUGAGGAGGUUUUUAAUUUGUCCUUAGGAAACUGCAGCCUGUUUUUUCUCGGAGUCACAGAAUCUCAGGCUGGGGGAGGCUGGAGGCACCUCUGGAGGUCACCUUGC